CCACUUACAAUUUUUCUUUGCUGGGGAAAGGCACCAACCGUGUCCUUUUAAUGCAACGAAGUGCUAGUUUCCAUGCUGUGGCAUUAAAAGCAAAGGGCACAAUGCUAACCAUGUCUACUCAGAAGUAAGCCCUACUGAAUUCAAUGGGGCUUACUCCCAAGUAAGUGGCUUUAGGAUUGCAGCUGCUUCCUGACAUUUAAAGAAGAAACCUUCUUCGCUCACACGCUGCUAAAUACUCACAGCUUGCCUGACAGACAGCGUUUAGCAAGUAGGGGCUGAACUGCGGCAACAUGGGGCCUCCAACUCCCAACCCACAGACAGGGCCCAGGAAGAUGCUGUGGUCCAUGGCAUCAAAAGCCGCUGAGAGAUCUCCAAGCCAGCCUUCGUGUGGCCCUCUCCCACCUCUCCCUUGAAGGAGGUCACCUGCCAGGGUGACCAAGGCUGAUUCCUCACCAAACUCAGUCCUAAAUCUCUGCUAACAUCGGUCCAGAUAAUCUGUUUCCUCCAAGGGGGCCUGCAGCUGAAUCCAAUGCCAUUUAUACAGGAAGGUUAAAACCCAAGGAAAAAUCUGUACCAGCUGCCUUGCAAAAUAUCUU